rnacentral:ncRNA from 2 species
UUGAUGGCAGGGGGAGAGAUUACAAUUACCGUAUUGUAACGCCGAAGGAGCAAGCCGCGAAGCGGUGAAUCUCUCAGGCAAAAGGACCUCUGCCGGACG